rnacentral:lncRNA from 1 species
UCAGUCCACCAUAAUUCGAAAGUCCGUCAAUCAUAUCAGAUAGUUAUAGAGGAGCGAUGGCAAUACCGUAGAUGAUAAUGGAGGGAUCCAUAUAGAGAUUCUUCAGUUCUUCAGAGAUCGAUGGACGGCAUCGCAUGACGAGGACUACCCCAUCUCGGGUGCCCAGUCGGUGAUCGGUAUCUCUGCUCAGGAGAAUGAUACUCGGACAAGCCCGAUGUCUUUGAAGG